rnacentral:tRNA from 1 species
UCUAAUAUGGCAGAAUAGUGCAUUGGAUUUAAACCCCAAAUAUAAAAUAAGUUUUUUUUAGAA